UUGGGCUGGCGGAGUGGGCAGUGGGAGGGUGGUUAGGAUGGUGGGGUGGUUUUUUAUUUUAUUUUUUGUUUUAAAACAAUGGUGGGGUGGUUUUUCAUUUAAUUAAUUAAUAAUUUUGUUUAUUUUUCUUAUAAAAAAAUUUAAACAGUUUUAAUAAAUUUUUUAAUUUUUUGUCCAAUCACACGCCAACAAGUGUCAAGUAACUUGUUUUAACAAGUUAACUUCCAUUUGUAGCAGAUAGUCAGAUACACAUCAAAAUUCGGAGUAUUAAAAAGUAAUCUAAAGUUGAGAUUAUUUUGAGAGAACAAGACAAAUUUUAGAUUAUUUUGGACAAUUUUCCUUUUUUUUUUUUUUCUUCAUAAAAUUCUUGGGGAAAAAAAUGCCAAUAGUAAGAGUGCUCUUACACUUGUUUGCAUAAAAAAAAAAAAAAAAAAAAACCAAAUCCACCGUUAAAUUAGUUGCUAACAUCCAACUUCCCACUACUUCAAAAUUAAAAAUCAUUAAAAAAAUCUUCUUCAUUUCUUCAAGUUUUCCAGAAAUAAAAAAUGGCUAAUACUGCUACUGUUGCUUCUUCUCUUUCUUAUCAUCUCUUCGACAAUCAUUCGUACUCCCGCCAUUUCAGUAAUCACCUGCAAAUUUCUCCAUUCUCCCGCACAAUUCCUUUCUUCAAUUCUAAUUUUUCCAAUCGAAACCCUAAAUCCCCUUUUCGUUUUCGAGCUCUUCCCAAAUCUAAAGACCCCAAAUCUUCAACUCCUCCUCCUUCAAAUUCAUCUUCUUCUUCCUCUAAAUUACAAUAUCCUCCACUUCUUCGGUUCAGAGAUGCAGUUAAAUUGGAUGAUCUUGGUCGGGAGAUAUUGUCGAUUGCAUUGCCUACUCUUUUGGCUUUAGCUGCUGACCCCAUCACUUCUCUUGUUGAUACUGCUUUUGUUGGUCAUUUGGGGUCAACUGAAUUAGCAGCAGUUGGGGUGUCAGUAUCAGUGUUUAACUUGGUAUCAAAAUUGUUUAAUGUCCCGUUGCUGAAUGUUACAACGUCCUUUGUUGCUGAAGAGCAGGCAUUAGUCAGUAUGCAGAAUGAAACAUCUAUUCAAGCUGGCCAAGAUUAUGAAGAAAGGAAAAAAGUCCUUCCUUCAGUGUCUUCAUCUUUAGUUCUUGCUGCUGGCCUUGGUGUUGCCGAAGCUGUGGCGCUUUCAGCUGGAUCGGGAACUCUAAUGAAUAUUAUGGGUAUAUCUGUUGAUUCACCAAUGCGUCAGCCAGCAGAGGAAUUCCUUACGAUGAGGGCUUUUGGUGCUCCUCCUAUUGUCAUUGCACUUGCUGCACAGGGUACUUUCCGAGGACUUAAAGAUACAAAGACACCAUUGUAUGCCAUAGGAGUCGGAAACGUACUCAAUGCAAUUCUAGAUCCAAUCUUGAUAUUUUUCUUUAGCUUUGGUAUUGGUGGUGCUGCAACCGCCACCGUGAUCUCUGAAUAUGUGAUAGCCUUCAUCCUACUCUGGAAGUUGAAUACAGACGUAUCUCUGACUUCUCCAAGUAUUGAUGGUGGAAGAUUUAUCCAAUAUCUUAAAUCAGGAGGGCUCUUGAUUGGAAGGACCUUAUCAGUCCUUGUGCCCAUGACAUUAGCCACAUCUUUGGCUGCGAGGGAAGGUCCCAUACCAACAGCUGGUUAUCAAAUUUGCUUAGAAAUUUGGCUGACGAUAUCAUUGUUGACUGAUGCUUUGGCACUUGCUGGACAGGCUCUUCUAGCUGGCGAUUACUCCCAAGGUAAUUAUGUGCAGGCUCGCCUGGUUGUAUAUAGAGUGUUGCAGAUAGGCUUUAUAGUUGGAAUGGGUUUGGCUGUCAUGUUAUUCCUUGGUUAUGGAGUGCUUCUAAACUUAUUUACCUCAGAUGCAGAAGUUAUGAAAGUUGCCUGGUCUGGUUUCUUGUUUGUUGCUGGAUCACAGCCGGUCAAUGCAAUUGCAUUUGUUCUUGAUGGGCUCUACUAUGGGGUUUCAGACUUUGAGUAUGCUGCCUACUCUAUGGUUGUAGCUGCAGUGAUCUCAUCAAUUAUUAUGCUACUUGUUGCUCCUGGUUAUGGUCUCCUUGGGGUUUGGACAGGGCUGUUUCUGUUCAUGAGCUUGCGUGUAGUUGCUGGAUGUUGGAGGUUGGGGACUAGGAGCGGACCAUGGAUCAGUGUUUGGUCUGAAACAGAUUAGAAGAAUUGCAGGUGUGCUUCAGACUUGUCCAAUAGAUUGCCUCGUGGCUAACCUUAGUUGAUUUGACUCAGAUGACUACUAAGAGUCUAAAAUGCUAUUGGACAGAUCCUUGAUCCCAUGCCAGCAUAAAGUCAGAAUCAAAUUCAUAUUGGCACUUUCAAGCCCUGUUGGAAAAUACUUCUGGAAUUCGUCAGCAGCAUGGCUUCUGGAGGGAUUGAGAGAUGAAGCCAUGGCAAUGUGAUUUGCUGCAGCGAUUUCACAGUUUAUGUUGCUGGAGUUGGCAAUAUUCGAGCUUCCAUUGAUUAAACAGCGUAACACAGUUCCAACUCACAAUUAUUAAGAGAAAAGAAAGAAAACUACAAGGAGGAAGAUCAAAAGGGAAAAAAAACAAAACAACAUUAACGUAAUAACACUACUCUUCUCUCUCUUCGACAAAUUCAAAGUCACGGAAAUCGCCACACCGCUGCCGCCUGCCGCCGCACCUUCCAACCACCGCUCCACCGGCCGCCGCACCUUCCAGCCACCUCCCAGCGCCCACGGACAACGGCAUAGCCGCACUCCAAUCCUACAGCCUUCUUGCCUUUCGACUCUAGGACUCGGAAAGGUCGAAGUGCUUACCAUGGAUCCACAACACCCUGACCAUGGAUCCCACAACACCCUGGGAGACCUGGAACCACCCACUUUAUGUACUCGUGAAAAACCUGUCAAUGUAACUAUUUAUUUACAACGCCCUUUUUAAUUAACUCAAGGUCACCAAUUUCACCACAA